rnacentral:rRNA from 1 species
GACGAACGCUGGCGGCGUGCCUAAUACAUGCAAGUAGAACGCACAGUUUAUACCGUAGCUUGCUACACCAUAGACUGUGAGUUGCGAACGGGUGAGUAACGCGUAGGUAACCUGCCUGGUAGCGGGGGAUAACUAUUGGAAACGAUAGCUAAUACCGCAUAAUAUUAAUUAUUGCAUGAUAAUUAAUUGAAAGGUGCAAUUGCACCACUACCAGAUGGACCUGCGUUGUAUUAGCUAGUAGGUGAGGUAACGGCUCACCUAGGCGACGAUACAUAGCCGACCUGGUAGGGUGCUCGGCCACGCCGGGACUGGGACACGGCCCAGACUCCUACGGGUGGCAGCCGUAGGGAAUCUUCGGCGAUGGACGCAAGUCUGACCAAGCCACGCCGCGUGGGUGAAGAAGGUUUUCGGGUCGUAAAGCUCUGUUGUAAGAGAAGAACGGGUGUGAGAGUGGAAAGUUCACACUGUGACGGUAUCUUACCAGAAAGCGACGGCUAACUACGUG